UAUUGGACAAUGGGGGAAACCCUGAUCCAGCGACGCCGCGUGAGUGAAGAAGUAUUUCGGAAUGUAAAGCUCUGUCAGCAGGGCAGAAAGAAAUGACGGUACCUGACCAAGAAACCCAGGCUAACUACGUGCCAGCCGCCGCGGUAAUACGUAGGGGGCAAGCGUUAUCCGGAAUUACUGGGUAUAAAGGGAGCGUAGACGGUAAUGUAAGUCUGGAGUGAAAGGCGGGAGCCCAACCCCCGGACUGCUCUGGAAACUAUGUUACUAGAGUGCAGGAGAGGUAAGCGGAAUUCCUAGUGUAGCGGUGAAAUGCGUAGAUAUUAGGAGGAACACCAGUGGCGAAGGCGGCUUACUGGACUGUAACUGACGUUGAGGCUCGAAAGCGUGGGGAGCAAACAGG
rnacentral:rRNA from 1 species